rnacentral:tRNA from 1 species
GCGCCGGUGGCUUAAUGGUGUAGAGCACUCCUGCCCGGUUAGGUUAGGUGAUGCGGGUUCAAAUCCCAACUGGCGCU